UGAGGAAUAUUGGUCGAUGGGCGAGAGCCUGAACCAGCCAAGUCGCGUGAAGGAUGAAGGUCUUAUGGAUUGUAAACUUCUUUUAUAAGGGAAUAAAAAAGAUCACGUGUGGUCUAUUGCAUGUACCUUAUGAAUAAGCAUCGGCUAACUCCGUG
rnacentral:rRNA from 1 species